AGAUUAUGAUUACUACGGUGGCUACAACGCGGCUGGCUGCAUAAAUAAUUCGCUUUAUUGUUUUCUGUUCGAAUAUGAGUAGAUUGGAAUGAUAUGUCCUUCAUUCAUUCUUGAUUUCGUAAAUAGUUAAGUUUUUAAUAAAUAUUUGAAUGGCGCUGUUUUCAGCUAAACAACUUCUAGAUGAGUUGAUGGGACGUGACAGAGAUUUAGGUUUAGAAGAGAAAAAAAAUGACUUUACUUGGGACGGUCCUGAUAUUUGUAAACAUUUUCUCGUGAAAUUCUGUCCUAAUGAUCUUUUUGUGAACACUAAAGCAGAUUUAGGAGCUUGUCCUAAGAUUCAUGAUGAAAGACUAAAAAAAGAGUAUGAAAAGAGCUCCCGUUUUCAAAGGAUGGGCUAUGAAGAUGAUUUUUUAAGAUUUUGUCAAAGUAUGUUGUCUGAUGUUGAAAAACGUAUAAGACGAGCAAGGACAAGGUUAGCACUUAAUAGCAAAGAAUCAAAUAUAAAUCAACCUCCACAAGUGAAAAAUAGUGAUGAUGAAAAAGUUAAUGUUUUAACUGAAAGGAUCAAUGCGCUAUUGGUUCAGGUUGAAAAUUUGGGAUGUGAAGGAGAAGUUGAAGAAGCUCAAAGUAUAAUGAAACUUUGUGAACAGCUUAAAGUUGAACGUGAAGCUCUCAGGAAGGCUUCAGAAGCAAAUCAUUGGUUUCAGACAGCAGAAAUUGCAGCAGCCCAAGAAAAACAAAUGGAAGUUUGUGAAGUAUGUGGAGCUUUUCUUAUUGUGGGUGAUGCACAGCAAAGAGUAGAUGAUCAUUUGAUGGGAAAACAGCACGUUGGCUAUGCUAAAUUAAAAGAAGCUGUUGAUGAAAUAUUGGACAAUCGAGAAAAAGUUCGUGUUGAAAGAGAAAAGUUGCGUGAAAAAGAAAGAGAAGAAAGACGAAAAGCUAGAGGGGAAGAAGAUAAAAAACGAGAAGAGCGUAGAAAACGCAUAGAAGAGGAACGUAGGGAGACUGAAAGACAUAGAGAUCGGUCUAGAAGAAGCAGAAGUAGAGAUCGAACUCACAAUAGAAGACAUUCUCAUCGUAGUCGAAGUAGGGAUAGUCAUUCUCACAGUAAAGGAAAAGACAAAGAAAGAUCUCGAAGAAGGAGUGGGAGUUCUGAAAGAAAAUGGCAUAGAUCACGUUCCCGUGAUAGUGGACAUCGUGAUAGUCGAAGAUCAAGAUCUCGUUCUACUGACCACAAAAAGGAUAGAAGAAGUAGAGAUCACAGAAAAAGUUCUCAUGAAAAUGGUGAGCCACCAGAGAAAAGUUCUAGAUCAGAAGAGGGUAGUAAAGGGCGCCAUUCCUCAGGUGAUUGACCUCUGAUCUAAUGUUGGUUUUGACAGGUAAGUGAACAUAACCUAUUCUAUGAUGCUCCUUAAGUGAAGCUGAUUUCCGGCAUCUUUCUAUUAUGCAUAGGUGUUUGAGAAGACUGGAUUCAAAGCAAGAUUUUGAAAUGCCGACUUCUAGUUCAAAUAGCAGGUAUUUGCGACUUUUAAACGCGAAGAAGGCAAAAUUAAACUAAAAAAACAAUUUAAUACUUUAAUUGGCUAUUUCAAUAUUUUCAUAAGUAUUUAAAAUUUAGCUUUUAGCACUUAUUGCUAAUAUUUAAUUUUUUUUUAUUAUUGCCAGUAUUUAAUAGUCAAUAAAAGCUUAAACUAAUAUUAUGAUCAAAGUAGCUGUAAAAUCAGUUCAAUUUCAUUACAUCCUAUCGUGUUUCAAACAGCUUAAAUAUGUAAAGUUAAAACAAUAUGAAAAUACAGAAACUAAAACUGUUAGAUAUCUUUAAUGUUAGUAUUUCUUAAAAAAAGAGCUGCUGUAACUGUAACAAUUUAACUUUCUUUAUCAAAGCUUUUCAAAAGUAAUUUAUAUUUUUAUUUAAUGCUCCUCAUAAAGUAUAUCUUAAUAAAAAAAAAUUGUUUUGUUUUAACUUUUUUCUCUUAAUUAUGAAAUGUUAGGAAGAACUGAUUUUUUAAAAAAGUUGCAUGUUUAGGCUGAUAUUUUGGUAGAUAAUUGUGAUUAAAAAAUUUGUUUGUCUCUUAAAGGUUUUGUCCUUAAAAUGCUUUUAGUAUGUAAAUUAGAAUAAGAAAUUACUGAGUAUAUUAAGAGUAUUAUAAAAUUGAAAAUUGUGCAGUUAAUUAAAUCUUCCUUGACUGUUAAAAAAAUGUUAUAUACCAGUAAAUUGAAUAGGCAGUCAGCAAUUUUCUUUUAGUUGCUCAUCAUUAGCUUUUAUAAUUAGUAAAAGUGUCAAUAUUUUUUUCCUUUUUGCCUGAUUAGUCAUUAAGAUUCAAUUAGUCAUAUUACAAGUAACCCUCUGCUUACAAUUCUCUUCGAAAAUUGAUUAAAAAUUAAUUAAAAAAAAAAAAAAAAAAAAAAACGCUAAAUUUAUCUUUAAAAUUAAUUUAACUUUUAUAUAAUUUUUAUUUAACCUAGGUACUUUUAAUUUAUUUUAUAAAUAAGUUAGAUCAAUUUCUUAGACUUUAAAAUCUUAAUCAGGAAUGACUUUCCUUAUUCAAAAGCUAUGCAAGAAGAGAAAGUAUUUCCUAUUUGUUUACAAAUUUAAAUAAACUUUAAGAAAAUUAUGUAUUUUCUAAUUAUAUUAUCAGUAUGAAUGAAGCUCUUUGAUUAUAAGUUUUUAGUUUAAACUUUUAUAAUGGUGUCCUGGGGAGAAUAAAUAAGCCUUGUCUAAAAUCGUAGUAAAUUCGGUGGCUUGAAAUAACGUGAAUUUACUUUCUCCAAACAUUAAAUGGAAUAAAGUGUCAAAUCCGUUUUUAUUCCUCUACCUAUCCUUGGACACCUUUUAAAAUUAUUCAUUUAUAUUAAAUAAAAAAUAGGCUCAUUACAAAUCGUUUUUGCAAAAUACCCCUAACACUUGUAGUUCGUCAGUUUAACAGGUAUAUAUCUGUGUUAUGCUGUGGACAGCCAACGGACCAUCUCGUGGUUUACUCUCUCUUCUACCCGUUUCUAUACCUGGAGCCUUUUAUGACAGUUGAUGCUACCAGCAACUGUCUUGGACCAUGUUUUUCUUAUUUGACAUGUCAUGUAAAAUAAGGACUUUCUGCCAGAUAAUUGUUGUGCCACCUUGUCAUCAAGUUACUGAAGCACCAAUGAAGAUAUCCUGUUGGGACCUUAACUAGAGCCUCUAGAGAUGAUCUUCCCAAGCAGAAAUGGACCAUUCCUACAGGUGAAAAAUUUGUCAUCUACUGUUGUAAAAGUGUAAGCAGUAGUUGUAGUCAGUCCAUAGCUGUAACUGUAUAUUAUGUUUUCAUGUAAAAUCUAUCAUUACACUUUUGUUUUAUUUUCUGAAUAAAUUUCUGGACUCUUA